rnacentral:rRNA from 1 species
CCUACGGGUGGCAGCAGUGGGGAAUAUUGCACAAUGGGGGAAACCCUGAUGCAGCAACGCCGCGUGAAGGAAGACGGUUUUCGGAUUGUAAACCUCUGUUCUUAGUGAAGAAUAAUGACGUUAGCUAAGAAGCAGGCCACGGCUAACUACGUGCCAGCAGCCGCGGUAAUACGUAGGUGGCAAGCGUUGUCCGGAAUUACUGGGUGUAAAGGGAGCGCAGACGGGAAGCCAAGUCAGAUGUGAAAACUCAGGGCUUAACUUGUGGACUGCAGUUGAAACUGGUUUUCUUGAGUGUAGUAGAGGCUGGCGGAAUUCCGAGUGUAGCGGUGAAAUGCGUAGAUAUUAGGAGGAACACCAGUGGCGAAGGCGGCCAGCUGGGCUUUAACUGACGCUGAGGCUCGAAAGUGUGGGGAGCAAACAGGAUUAGAUACCCGUGUAGUC